rnacentral:rRNA from 1 species
ACGCGCAGAACCUUACCAACCCUUGACAUCCUGUGCUACUACCAGAGAUGGUACGUUCCCUUCGGGGACGCAGUGACAGGUGCUGCAUGGCUGUCGUCAGCUCGUGUCGUGAGAUGUUCGGUUAAGUCCGGCAACGAGCGCAACCCACAUCUUUAGUUGCCAGCAGGUUAAGCUGGGCACUCUAGAGAAACUGCCCGUGAUAAGCGGGAGGAAGGUGUGGAUGACGUCAAGUCCUCAUGGCCCUUACGGGUUGGGCUACACACGUGCUACAAUGGCAGUGACAAUGGGUUAAUCCCCAAAAGCUGUCUCAGUUCGGAUUGGGGUCUGCAACUCGACCCCAUGAAGUCGGAAUCGCUAGUAAUCGCGUAACAGCAUGACGCGGUGAAUACGUUCCCGGGCCUUGUACACACCGCCCGUCACACCAUGGGAGUUGGUUCUACCCGACGACGCUGCGCUAACCCUNNGGNG